UACGGAGGAUGCAAGCGUUAUCCGGAUUCAUUGGGUUUAAAGGGUGCGCAGGUGGGCUUGUAAGUCAGUGGUGAAAUGCUGCCGCUUAACUGUAGACUUGCCAUUGAUACUGGCGCUCUUGAGUGCGCUUGAAGUAGGCGGAAUGUGUCGUGUAGCGGUGAAAUGCUUAGAUAUGACACAGAACACCGAUUGCGAAGGCAGCUUACUAAGGCGAUACUGACGCUGAGGCACGAAAGCGUGGGGAUCGAACAGGAUUAGAUACCCUGGUAGUCCACGCCGUAAACGAUGAUCACUCGUCAUUGGCGAUAUACGGUCAGUGACCCAGCGAAAGCGUUAAGUGAUCCACCUGGGAGUACGAUCGCAAGAUUGAA
rnacentral:rRNA from 1 species